rnacentral:lncRNA from 1 species
AGCGACCGGGCUACACAGGUGAUGAAAGGGGGAACUGCAUCCUGGGAUCCGCAGUUUCGCUUGUCCACCCGCCAAAUCCUAAGAGUGGCUGGGCGCAGUUAUUGGGGAGUAGUAGAAACAGGGUUUCACCAUGUUGGCCAUGCUGGUCUCGAACUCCAGAACUCAAGUGAUCCGUCCGCCUCGGUCUUCCAAACUGCUGGGAUUACAGGCGUGAGCCACCGCGCCCAGCCUUUGCGGAAGUUCUUUUUACCGUCCAUCAUCCAUUGCCACCACACCUUCUGCUUACGAGUUAUUUAUAAUAAGUUUAACUAAAAGAGAACGAGAGAACAUCCCCUGAAACCCAAAGUUUGUCAUUCUAUACAGCUUUCCUGCCUGCAAAAGAGGAGGAGCAGACUCAUCCAGCAAAUCACCUAAAAAGUUUGAAGAUCAAAAAGCCUAGCUCCAGUUUCAGAUCCUUCCCCGACCUUUCUGAACACUAGUUUCUUCCUCUGAAAAACGAAAGAGGGAACGGGACCGUAGAGUGGAGUGGGCACAAGAAUCGCAAGUCCCUUCUGGCUAUGACGCUGCAAGACUCUAGGUACAGUUUAGGACUCUGGGCAUUCAGAUCCCCGGGACUUGUCAAGUUCUCCUCAUGGACAUUUUUGAUAUUUCGUGACAACACAAAUUCAUCACAUUUUUGUGCUGUGUGUUAUAUGUGGGAAGGAGAUUUUAAAAAGAUUGCCUUUUGAAGUUAUUGGAUAGCUGUGUUACAGAAGAAAACAUUGCCUUCAAGAAGUUAUUGGAUAGAUAUGUUACAGAAGAAAAGACGUUUGUUUCAUUUUUGACUUUGCAGGAAAAGAAUAUGUAACACAUCAGAAUUCUUCUCUCCUCCCUGGCCUUAGUCGAGUACCUGAGGGGCAUUAAAGGACUUCCUCCUUGCAAUCACUUACCCAGCAUUGUCCUUAAUACAGAUAUCUUCAUUGUUGAAUGAAUGAA